GACGAACGCUGGCGGCGUGCCUAAUACAUGCAAGUCGAACGCAGUGGGGACGGGUGAGUAACACGUGGGUAACCUCCCAUCAGAGGGGAUAACACUUGGAAACAGGCGCUAAACCGCUACUGCUGGAUGGACCCGCGGUGCAUUUGCUAGUUGGUGAGGUAACGGCUCCCCAGGGCCACGAUGCAUAGCCGACCUGAGAGGGUGAUCGGCCACACUGGGACUGAGACACGGCCCGGACUCCUACGGGAGGCAGCAGUAGGGAAUCUUCGGCAAUGGACGAAAGUCUGACCGAGUAACGCCGCGUGGGUGAAGAAGGUUUUCGGAUCGUAAAACUCUGUUGUUAGAGAAGCGGUAUCUAACCAGAAAGCCACGGCUAACUACGUGCCAGCAGCCGCGGUAAUUC
rnacentral:rRNA from 1 species